rnacentral:tRNA from 1 species
ACCUGAGUGGCUCAGUGGUUGAGCAUCUGCCUUUGGCUCAGGUUGUGAUCCCCGGGUCUUGGGAUCGAGUCCCACAUCAGGCU